GUGACUGGGGGAAUUUUGAGAAGCAAAUGUCUAGAAUUUAUGUGCCAUAAAGAAGAAUUUUAUUUCAAAGUGUAAGAGACAUGAUUACAAAGUGUAUUCUGUUUGUUUUUUUCAAAUCCUGAGAACCUAUGCAAGUAAAGUGUAUUUUGGGACUGUACUGCCAAACUCAUUGAAAUGAGUGCCACUUAAUGGACAGCCCAGACUACACGGCAUCUCCAG
rnacentral:lncRNA from 1 species